UACGGGGGGAGCAAGCGUUGUUCGGAUUUACUGGGCGUAAAGGGCGCGUAGGCGGCCACUGCAAGUCGGUUGUGAAAUCUCCGGGCUUAACCCGGAAAGGUCAAUCGAUACUGCAGGGCUAGAGUGCGGAAGGGGCAACUGGAAUUCUCGGUGUAGCGGUGAAAUGCGUAGAUAUCGAGAGGAACACCUGCGGCGAAGGCGGGUUGCUGGGCCGACACUGACGCUGAAGUGCGAAAGCUAGGGGAGCGAACAGG
rnacentral:rRNA from 1 species